AUUGAACGCUGGCGGCAGGCCUAACACAUGCAAGUCGAGCGAGCGGCGGACGGGUGAGUAAUGUAUGGGGACUGCCCGAUAGAGGGGGAUAACUACUGGAAACGGUGGCUAAUACCGCAUACUAUCGGAUAACCCAUAUGGGAUUAGCUAGUAGGUGGGGUAAAGGCUCACCUAGGCGACGAUCUCUAGCUGGUCUGAGAGGAUGAUCAGCGACGCUGGGAAUGAGACACGGCCCAUGAGCGUACGGAGGCAGCAGUGGGGAAGAUUGAACUAUGGGCGCAAGCCUGAUGCAGCCAUGCCGCGUGUAUGAAGAAGGCCUUAAGGUUGUAAAGCACGUUCAGCUGUGAGGCGUUCCCCGCAGAAGAUGCACCGGCUGACGCCGUGCCAGCAGCCGCGGUAAUUC
rnacentral:rRNA from 1 species